AAAUAUGAGUUCUGAAUCGAAGACAAACGCUGAAACUGGCCACCAAAAAUGUUUUCCUUCAAAGCGUGUCCAAAACAGCAGCUCAAUUUUGGCACGUUUCUGGAUCCCAUAGGCAGGACCUCCGAGCUUUCCUGAUCCAGAAGUUACAUAUGUUGGAAGAAUACUGCAUUUACUUAGUCCAAAUUGAUCCAAGCCUGUCAUAUUUAAAAAAACAACUCUUAUUUUUAAGGCUAUAGCCCAGAAAAAUUAAAUUAGAAUCUUUGGGGUUGGACUCCAACAUCACCAGUAUUUUUUGAAGGUUGUGCCUGCCAAAUGUGCUGUCAAGGUUGAGAACUACUAUGUUAGGCUCAGUGCCCCAGAAUGCGAUUGUAUUUGGAGAUAAGGCAUUUACAGAGAUAACUGAGAUAAAAUGAAGUCUUAUGAGUGGGUCCUAAACCAAUAUGACUGAAAUUCUUAUAAUAAGAGAAGAUUAAGACACAGACAUGCACAGAGGAGAGACUAUAUAAAGACACAGAGAGAAGAUGGCCAUCUAGAAGCCAACACAUCAGAAUGUAAUUAGCCCUGCUAAGACCUUGAUCUUGGACUUUUCACCUCUAGAACUGUGAGAAAAUAAGUUUGUUUUGUUUAAGCCAUUCAGUCUGUGGUAAUUGUUA